GCCGGGCGUGGUGGCGCACGCCUAUAGUCCCAGCUACUCGGGAGGCUGAGGUGGGAGGAUCGCUUUAGUCCAGGAGUUCUGGGCUGCAGUGCGCUAUGCCGAUCUGGUGUCCGCACUAAGUUCGGCAUCAAUAUGGUGACCUCCCGGGAGCGGGGGACCACCAGGUUGCCUAAGGAGAGACAAAAGGAAUAUGGCCGGGGCAGGGAGAGUCUUUUGUAGAGACAGGGGUGGGGUUUGUAGGGGCAGAGGUGGGGUUGAGUGAGGUAGUGACUAGGGAAUGGAGGAGCCCAU
rnacentral:SRP_RNA from 1 species